GGUCCAAACAAAUUGGAUUAGGAGGGCUGCAGGCGCCUCCUCCCCCAUGCUGUCGGCUCCGACACUGAGCAGGCCUGCAGAGCAGCCAGCUGCGGUCUCUCGGCCAUGCUGACAGGCUCCCCAGAGCUUCCCGACAGAAGACACAGGCUGCCCCCCGGGGCCAAGCGACAUUUCCUGAAGACAGUGGGGAACAGGGAAGAAAAAACAGUCCGUCCUCCGGGAGUAGGAGGAUGUGGACAGCCAGCACCAGGGUAAGGACCAUAUCAGAUUCAGGCCUGUCCCCUCGGCAUGUGGAAGACGCAUUUGGUUUGCUAAAUGGAUGGAUGAAAUGAGACAAAGGAACAGAACCAGGCAACCUACAGCCACAGAGGAUACGGAAGCAAAUACCUUCCCCUGGUCAAAGGCCUCAACCUCUGGCCCUGUGUCAGAGUUUCCCACAGGAGCGUGGGACUGCCUCUCAUCCAUUUCCUGUCUCUGCACCCAGGAGAGCUGCUAUCUUUGCGGCAAUACUCUGAGCCCAACGGGGUGUGCUGGAAAUAGCCACCAAUUCCCCUAGUGCAAGCAGGGCUGUGACCCUGGAACCGUCUCCUCCCCUUCCUGGCUCGCCAUGUGCAAUGAUAAGCCUCCCCUGACCACCGCACAGCUGUUCUGCAGAUUAAACAUGGAGGGGCGGUUUUUCAAAUGGCAGGCACUCAGAUGCCACCCCCCCUUUUUUUUCCUCAGAUGCCCCCUUUUUAACUUUUGCCAUAUCUGCAAACAAUCAUAAGAUUUUAAAUUUUAAGAUGAGUCUUUUUUAAUACCUAAAAUAGGAAACUAAACACUGUCCAUAAUUAGGAGAUAAUAAAGAUAAGAGAGCCAGUAAAUAUGCAGCGGUGCUCUUACUCUUUCCCCUUGAGCAAUGGCUUGCAAGGUCCUGGACUUGAGGGAGAUAAACAGGAGCCUGAAAAGUGUCAGAGACAUGACAGCAC
ensembl:lncRNA